rnacentral:rRNA from 1 species
UGCCUACGGGGGGCAGCAGUGGGGAAUAUUGCACAAUGGGGGGAACCCUGAUGCAGCGACGCCGCGUGGGUGAAGAAGUAUCUCGGUACGUAAAGCUCUAUCUGCAGGGAAGAAAAUGACGGUACCUGACUAAGAAGCCCCGGCUAACUACGUGCCAGCAGCCGCGGUAAUACGUAGGGGGCAAGCGUUAUCCGGAUUUACUGGGUGUAAAGGGAGCGUAGACGGCACUGCAAGUCCGG